AGAAAUAUUGGCUGAGAUUGAACUGUCAAGGCAAAAGAGAUGUAUAGUUAUACAAAAGCAGUCAAGUGGAGUUUCUGAUGCUGAGGGUACCGAAGAUGAAGACUAUGACUAUAGGAAGCCGCAGCCAAAACUGCCCAAGCCAGAUCGAUUUCAAAACACGCCAGUUAAGAAUAGUGAUUUUGAAACUCUUUCACCGUCCUUGAAGUACAGGAAGAUCCCAAGAGCGAUGUAUCGAAGGAUAAGGACGAAAAAUCGAUUUCAAUAAGCAAUUUGAAAUAUGGUUAAGCUGAUGAAACUACAGACGAAGAAUUUUACGACACAAGACCCAUAAACGACUACGAGUAAAAUUUCCUAUAUCAAAAACUGCUGAGCUGAUUUUGAAGAAACUUGCGGUAACGAAACGGAAUUAAUUACUUUUUUAUAUUUUUAAUGUGUUAAUAACCUGUACUUUGGAUAUUAAGGUUAAUUUUCAAGCGACCAUGUAUAAUUAAACACCUAGCACCUUGCUUGGGCUAACCUGUGAGUAAA